rnacentral:rRNA from 1 species
UUCGCAAUGCCCGAAAGGGUGACGAUGCGACGCCGCGUGAGCGAAGAAGGCCCUAGGGUUGUAAAGCUCUGUCGAGGGUUAUGAAAUAUAGAUGGGUUAAUACCCCAUUUAUUUGACAAAAGCCCAAAAGGAAGCCACGGCUAACUCUGUGCCAGCAGCCGCGGUAAUACAGAGGUGGCGAGCGUUGUUCGGUAUUAUUGGGCGUAAAGAGCACGUAGGUGGUUUUGUAAGUCAGGUGUGAAAGCCUUCUGUUCAAAGGAAGAACGGCAUCUGAAACUGCAGAUCUUGAGUGUAGGAGGGGAGAGUGGAACUUCUGGUGGAGCGGUGAAAUGCGUAGAUACCAGAAGGAACGUCGGCGGCGAAAGCGACUCUCUGGCCUAUUACUGACACUGAGGUGCGAAAGUUAGGGGAGCAAACGGGAUUAGAUACCCCGGUAGUCCUAACCGUAAACGAUGGGCACUAAGUAGAGGGGUUUU